rnacentral:rRNA from 1 species
CGUCAAAUCAUCAUGCCCCUUAUGACCUGGGCUACACACGUGCUACAAUGGAUGGUACAAAGGGUAGCGAAGCCGCGAGGUGGAGCCAAUCCCAUAAAGCCAUUCUCAGUUCGGAUUGUAGGCUGCAACUCGCCUACAUGAAGCCGGAAUCGCUAGUAAUCGCAGAUCAGCAUGCUGCGGUGAAUACGUUCCCGGGCCUU